GAUCAACCUGGCUAUGUACUGAAAUGAAAGUAGAAGAUUAAACUUGUAAAGGUUUUUGCAUGUGACUUGUUUCUGCAAUUUUUAGAGCCCUUAAAGUAAUAUUAAGGCUGUAGUUGAAGAGCAUUUGCUUUUGCAGCUAGGGAUAGUAGUUUUAAACUGUUUUUACGGCUAGCAAGUUCAGUUCAGUCAGUUCUAUUGCAAUGAUUGCUCAAUGCCCGGCUUUGCUAAGUUAAUGGCUUCAUAUUGUUCAACAAAACUGGAGGGCUUGCAGUGUCCCAUGCACAGCUACCUGUAGCAGCUGAUUAAUUGCUUUCGUAUUUUGUGGGCCUAAUUUUUCCUUUCUCGAGAAUAACUCUCCCACCCAUAUAUAAUUCCUUCCUCCCUCGUAAAAUCCACACAGCAACAAGUUUUUAUAUGCACUAUACACACAUUUCCCAUUCAUAAGAAGUUCUUGAAAUCCAAUUUCAUGGCAAGUUCUGUUCUCAUAUCCUCAAUCAUCUUAGCUCUACUCAUGAUAAUGGGUACUGUUUCCCCUCAAGUUGAGGCAAGAGCCUUCUUUGUGUUUGGAGAUUCACUAGUUGACCAUGGCAAUAACAAUUACUUAGCCACUACUGCACGGGCAGACUCUCCGCCUUAUGGCAUUGAUUUUCCUACUCAUCGACCCACUGGCCGGUUCUCUAAUGGCCUUAACAUCCCUGAUCUUAUCAGUCAAGAACUUGGCUCGGACUUAAUAUUGCCAUACUUGAGUCCACAGCUCACUGGACGGAAGCUACUUGUUGGUGCCAAUUUUGCUUCUGCUGGAAUUGGAAUUCUCAAUGAUACUGGAAUUCAAUUUGUAAAUAUACUUAGACUGUAUCAACAGUUUGCGUACUUCCAAGAAUACCAGCAGCGAGUGGCUGCUCUCAUUGGAGCUGAACAGACCAAGAAACUUGUUAAUGAGGCUCUUGUGCUUAUCACAGCUGGUGGGAAUGAUUUUGUUAACAACUAUUACUUGGUGCCUAACUCCGUAAGGUCUCAGCAGUUUUCACUACCAGAUUAUGUGAAAUUUCUCAUCCCUGAGUAUAGAAAACAUCUUGAGAGACUAUAUGAUCUUGGAGCACGAAGAGUUCUAGUAACAGGCUCAGGUCCAUUGGGUUGUGUCCCUGCAGAAUUGGCUUUGAGGGGCAGAAAUGGGCAAUGCUCAACUGAAUUGCAACAGGCUGCAGCCUUAUACAAUCCUCAACUCACUGAAAUGAUCAAAGAACUCAACGCCCAAUAUGGUUCAGACAUCUUUAUUGCUGCAAAUACACGCGAAAUGAGUACUAACUUCAUCAGUAAUCCUGAAGCAUUUGGUAAGUCCUUUUGGCAAUAAGCUUCAACUCGGUGAUAUUGAGUGACUCUUACAACUGUAAGGUUUUGAAUUCGAGCUCCUAACUAGAAAAAGUCUUAUCAUAAUUAUUGGCAUCUAUUAAGCCCAAUUGAUUGUGUAAUAUUAAUGCUGUUGAUAUGCAGGAUUUACUACAUCAAAGAUGGCUUGUUGUGGGCAAGGACCCUAUAAUGGUAUAGGUCUAUGCACACCCUCAUCAAACUUGUGCUCUAACAGGGAUGAAUAUGCGUUUUGGGAUCCAUUCCAUCCUUCGGAGAGGGCAAACAGAUAUCUUGUUCAACAGAUGAUGAAUGGCUCAACUGAAUAUAUGAACCCCAUGAAUCUUAGCACCAUCUUGGCCAUGGACUCUAGGACCUAAUUAAUCAUUUGCAUAUUCUCUUGAAGAUUUUAUUCCACUUCUGUUUAAUAAAUUGCUCAUAUAUUUAUGUUGCAAUGGAUUUUCUAGUGGAAUUGAAUUGUUGAAAUGCGCCAGAUUGUGAAUUGUUGAAUAUGGUGAUACUUUGUGCA
rnacentral:misc_RNA from 1 species